rnacentral:rRNA from 1 species
AUGCUGAGCAAGAAACCUCUAGAGUUUCUUAAGCAAAAAACCAAACCUGCUCAUCAACCGCCAUUCACAGCUCACCAGUACUCCCCGCAUGAGCAUUUCCCAUCUUUCAUCCUAUGGAACCUGUUGCUAUCUCUCAAUAUUACCUCCCUUCCAGUCGAUUUAGAGAUAUACUUGAUUGCAGAAUGGCAAUCUGCGCACACACGGAGAUUCUUAAAGAUCCUUAUUGGUUUUGUUGGCGAUGUAGUAAUCAAACCAAAUGCCACAGCAAUCUUCUCGCUGUGCUGGAGCAGACACUCCUCCUUGAGCUCAUCCGACAUGUCAUGGAACACGAUGCUUGUGUCUGGUACGUAG